CAUAAAACUACAGCGUCUGGCCUGAAGCGGUCGGUGCUGAGUUUGUGCUGCAGGUCCAGGUCCUGCCGCUGGAUUCCCCCAUCGGUUUUUUGGGAAGGGUGAAGGUCGAAUGGUCUGGCUUUUGUAAUUGGGGACACAAACACCAAAUAACGAGAGAAGCCUCCGCUCCUUUCGCACCAUUUUUUCUCCCUCAAGGGCCCUGCAUGUCUAAUAUUUAGACAUGUUCAGCUUGAUGGAUUCCAGGACUAUACUGCUACUUGUAGCGAGCCAAGUUUGUCUAUUAGCCGUUGUGAGAUGUCAGGUGGAAGACGACCAAGAGGACGCGUUUAGCUGUGUACAAGAUGGACAGCGUUAUAGUGACAAGGAUGUGUGGAAACCAGAGCCUUGUCGCAUCUGUGUGUGUGACACUGGAACCGUCCUGUGCGAUGAAAUUGUCUGCGAGGAGCUAAAAGACUGCCCCAAACCUGAAAUCCCAUUUGGAGAGUGUUGCCCCAUCUGCGCUGCUGACCAGCCUCCAGCCUCUGGAAUACCUGGUGCUAAGG